CUUGGCAGGGCACCCAGCAGGUCGUGGAGGAAGCAGUCUUCCAGGCUGGAGGUUAGCCCCUCCCCAGAGGUCCCAAACAUGUCCUUUCAGAGUCAGAGGAGCCGGACAGCCCAGGGUGGCACUGGGCUCUGAAUCUCAGCUCCCUCCGCCCUCACUCUCUGCCCAGGGCAGGUCGCAGAACUUCACACCCAGGAUUCUCCUCCGUAAAAUGGGCUCACCGACCCCGCAUCAUCCCUGGCGGGUCUGAUGGCAUUCACAGAGCUAAUGCAGCCCACUGCCAUUGGCUGCGACCUCUUCCAAGACCGGCCCCAGCUGGCAGCUUGGC
rnacentral:lncRNA from 1 species